rnacentral:rRNA from 1 species
UUUCCGUAGGUGAACCUGCGGAAGGAUCAUUGUCGAAACCCCGAAGGUACGACCCGCGCGCCUGUAUCUAUAAUAACAAGGGGAACCGCGUGAUGUGCCCCCUCACGGGAGCCCGUCGCCUCUCCCCCCGUUUGCCGGGCUGGGCCUCGUCCCGUCGCGAGAAGUCCGCAUCGGCCUACGCUCGUCGAUCGGCGGAGCCACGCCGGGCAAAGGCAAUCGAAACCCGGGCGCAGCUGGAUGCGCCAAGGAAAACGGAUAGAGAGCGAUGGUUAGAGCUUUCCCCCGGCCCCUCUGUCGGCGCGGGGGAAGGCGAUGCCGUCAUCGGCAGAGACGACUCUCGGCAACGGAUAUCUCGGCUCUCGCAUCGAUGAAGAACGUAGCGAAAUGCGAUACUUGGUGUGAAUUGCAGAAUCCCGUGAACCAUCGAGUCUUUGAACGCAAGUUGCGCCCGAGGCCAUUAAGGUCGAGGGCACGCCUGUCUGGGCGUCGCACAUCGCGUCACCUGCCGAACUCUCCCCCCCAUCGAGAAGCAGGUGGAUGAUGGCCUCCCGUGCCUCGGGAUAGAAGGCGCGGCUGGCCGAAAUCGGGAGCUGGGGCGAAGGAGGCCGCGGCAGUGGGUGGUCGGCGAGGCCGGAUCGGCAAGAAGUCACGACAACUUGUCGCGGCCCCUCCCCCCAAAGGUCGCUCGGUUCGACCCCGUGGUGCCGUUCGUGGAGGCACUCUGCGGCGACCCCAGAUCAGGCGGGAUCACC